rnacentral:rRNA from 1 species
UUGAACGCUGGCGGCAUGCCUUACACAUGGCAAGUCGAACGGCAGCACGGGAGCAAGUCCNGGUGGCGAGUGGCGAACGGGUGAGUAAUAUAUCGGAACGUGCCCAGUCGUGGGGGAUAACGUAGCGAAAGCUACGCUAAUACCGCAUACGAUCUAUGGAUGAAAGCGGGGGAUCGCAAGACCUCGCGCGAUUGGAGCGGCCGAUAUCAGGAUUAGGUAGUUGGUGAGGUAAAGGCUCACCAAGCCGACGAUCUGUAGCUGGUCUGAGAGGACGACCAGCCACACUGGGACUGAGACACGGCCCAGACUCCUACGGGAGGCAGCAGUGGGGAAUUUUGGACAAUGGGCGCAAGCCUGAUCCAGCAAUGCCGCGUGCAGGAUGAAGGCCUUCGGGUUGUAAACUGCUUUUGUACGGAACGAAACGGUGAGCUCUAAUACAGUUUGCUAAUGACGGUACCGUAAGAAUAAGCACCGGCUAACUACGUG